AACGUAUGGGGCGAGCGUUGUCCGGAAUUACUGGGCGUAAAGGGCGCGUAGGUGGUCCAUUAAGUUAGAGGUGCAAGAUCGGGGCUCAACCCCGAGAUUGCCUCUGAUACUGGUGGACUUGAGUGCAGGAGAGGGGAGCGGAAUUCCCAGUGUAGCGGUGAAAGGCGUAGAUAUUGGGAGGAACACCAGUGGCGAAGGCGGCUCUCUGGACUGUAACUGAAACGGAGGCGCGCAAGCGUGGGGAGCGCACAGGAGGCGAUAACACCGGAGUCC
rnacentral:rRNA from 1 species